rnacentral:rRNA from 1 species
UACGGAGGGUGCAAGCGUUAUCCGGAUUCACUGGGUUUAAAGGGUGCGUGAGGUGGGCAGGUAAGUCAGUGGUGAAAUCUCCGGGCUUAACUCGGAAACUGCCAUUGAUACUAUCUGUCUUGAAUACCGUGGAGGUCAGCGGAAUAUGUCAUGUAGCGGUGAAAUGCUUAGAUAUGACAUAGAACACCAAUUGCGAAGGCAGCUGGCUACACGAAUAUUGACACUGAUGCACGGAAGCGUGGGGAUCAAACAGG